GCGCCCGUAGCUCAGGUGGAUAGAGCAACGGAUUUCUAAUCCGACGGUCGGGGGUUCGAAUCCCUCCGGGCGCG
rnacentral:tRNA from 1 species